ACAUUGCCCUAUGGGCGGGGAAACUAGACCAGGCCGUGUGUUGGGGAUAGGGUUUCUCUUUGGGGGCGUGGCUUAUGGAUCCUUGCUUUCCCGCCGGCGGUUGGCCACGUCACGUGACAUGUGUUGGAAGAUGGCGUCUCCCACAGACGGGGCAGAUCUGGAAGCAUCUUUGCUAAGUUUUGAAAAACUUGACCGAGCUUCACCAGAUCUUUGGCCAGAGCAAUUACCAGGUGUUGCUGAAUUUGCAGCGUCCUUCAAAAGUCCUAUUACUAGCUCUCCACCCAAAUGGAUGGCUGAAAUAGAACGUGACGAUAUCGACAUGUUGAAAGAACUGGGGAGCCUCACCACAGCUAAUUUGAUGGAGAAGGUACGAGGCCUUCAGAACCUGGCCUAUCAGUUGGGGCUGGAUGAGUGUUUUCUGCCUGUAGUCAUCAGAUACCUGCUGAGAAACAGUGAUAAGCAUAGCUUCAACAGCCAUAAUUAUAUGAAUACCUACUAAUAGAGCCUCAUAUGUAGGAAAGUAGCUGUAUAAACCCUCUUGUAACUACAGCAUUCAAAGAUUGAUGGUGCUGAAAGUGAGAUAAAGACACAUAAACCUUGCCUGGCUAUAUUAAAUAUCUAAGGACUGACAAUGCCAAGAGAGAGAAGACCAAAGCUCUAUACACCCUACUUUAUUACUCCAUCCACAGAUAAACUGCACUGAGGGAAUAGAAACCCCAUUACAUUACAGUAUCCAGGGACUACCACUGCUGAGAGAUGGGCCAGAGAGAUGACACGGGGGAAAUUCCUCAACAUUCUAGAGAAGCCCAAGAAGUAGCAGCUGCUUGUGGACAGGAUGCCCUGGGGACUGGAACUGUGCUUCCCUCCCAGUGCAGUUCUGAUGACGCGUACCUCACUGCUUCCUGACCAGAGGCCGGAGGGUGCACCUCCAGGACUGACCCUCUCCCCUGCUCCUGGCACUCUGCGCUUCUGAGCACAUUCGGCGGCAAGAGAAGAAUCUGCUCUACCCAAGGAUCAGUGGUGCAGUUAUUCAUUCAGCUUCUGGACUGUGACCGUCUCAGCUUCGGAUGUUGGUAACACCAGAAGGUAUAUCGUUCUCAAAGGUCAAAGUCCUGCUUUCUCGUUUCCGGAAAUGAUUCUGGAGCUCCAGGAUCUUACAGUUGAUUUGAUUCAGUGAUAGCAAAGUCAUUUGAGACGUGUUGAUGGGACAAGUUCUUUUGAAUUGUACUUGAUCUCUUAGGAGGUGUUUAUGUUGCAAGGAGACCAGAGACCAAUUAGAUUCUGGACCAGACCAUGCAGCUUGACCUGCAAGCUCACCACUGUAUACUAGGUUCCAGGAAUCCCCAGCUGGAGAAAUGCUUUUAAAAUUCUACAUCUCUCAAGAGAGUCCCAUCCCCCAGUGCCUUCCAUUCCCCACCUCCCAGCCCCCACCAUCAGUCUGACUCCAGGGAAGGGGAUCCCUGUGAAUCAAGUCCCUCCUGGGAUUAGCUUAUACAGUGAAAGGCAUAUGUAGGGUUGCAUUGGGUUCUAGACCUCCAGACCAACUUAAAGGUGACAGAAAGGACUUUUGAGUUCUAGUUAAUCUGUUACAGAUUCAAGCGAGAAAGUCAGUAUGGCCUGAAAGAUAGGAGAAGGGGACUGCUUGCAGGAGUUCCCAUUUGAUUAAAAACUAGAAACUCUACUUGACCUUAAAGGAAUGUGCUGUGGAAUGGUGGCAAUGUUUUGCCCCCCUUGUCCCAUCUCACAGCACAGAUUAGAUAUUCCACCCAUGUGACAGAAACACACACACACACAAGAAAAAGAGAAUUUCCUGACUUUACAAAUCUUAUGGAGCUCUUUGCCAGUUAUCUGUCUCUAUGUUAAAACGUGAAAAUCUAGCCCGUGGGUAAAAUUGAUUAUACAUGUUCUCCUUAUUUUGUCUUAUAAGCCAGCCCCCAGCUUCUGUUGUUUGUAGAAGUACAUGGGGUUUCCUAAACUUUAUGAAAAGAACAUCCAUGUGGCAGUAGUAUGUUGGUGUUUGGACACAAGGAAUGUUGUGGUCAAGGUUUUGGUCCUGAGUGUCUGCUAGGGCACAAAACUAUUCAGUUUAAUAGCUGGUUCAUUAACCAUUUUCUGACACUUCUGCCUUGUUUCCCAUGCUAGAGUUAAUGUUGGAUUUUUCUCUCAUUUGCACCAUUUGACCAUCCAUGCAAUUUUACCUAUUGAUAAGUGGGGUGGAAUUUAACACAAGACAUAAAGGAGAGUAUGAGAAGGAAAACAUUCUGCUUGGGUACUAUAUAGAAGGUUAGGCUAUAGAGGCUUUGAUUUUAAGUAAAGCUUAUUAUUGACAUUCCUUUAUCUUAAAUGCGGUUAAAGAGUGUAAAAGAUGGGGAGAGAGAGAAAGGGGGGUGUGCAAAAACUAGUGCCAUAAUGUCAAAUUCUAACUUUGCUCUGUUUUUGAGAGUUGAUGACGUCAGGCACUUCUGAGUGCUUGGGGAAAUUGAGAAACAUAUGGAGAACAUUGGGAUACCUCCCCCAAACCAACUCCAGUCCGAAAACUGAAGCUAUGUAGUUGGUUUUUUGGUCUGCUUUGGCCUCUUCCUUUUACUGUCAUCUUAUUCACCAGCACUUAAUGUAAGUAGAUGUUUUAGAAUUGUGAUAUUUAUUGGUUUUUAUUUGCCGUCCUUAGAGAUGUUAAUGAUGUAUUUUUAUAUUGAUAAUAUAAAUUUAUGUACAAUGUGUGCAUGUAUGUAUUUCAGGGUGUUAGAGGACUGUACUUUGUAUAUGAUGGUUUCUAUGUCAUCAUAAUAAAUAUUUCCCCUUUAU